rnacentral:rRNA from 1 species
GUGGGGAAUUUUGGACAAUGGGCGAAAGCCUGAUCCAGCAAUGCCGCGUGUGAAGAAGGCCUUCGGGUUGUAAAGCACUUUUGUCCGGAAAGAAAUCCUUGGCUCUAAUACAGUCGGGGGAUGACGGUACCGGAAGAGUAAGCACCGGCUAACUACGUGCCAGCAGCCGCGGUAAUACGUAGGGUGCGAGCGUUAAUCGGAAUUACUGGGCGUAAAGCGUGCGCAGGCGGUUUGCUAAGACCGAUGUGAAAUCCCCGGGCUCAACCUGGGAACUGCAUUGGUGACUGGCAGGCUAGAGUAUGGCAGAGGGGGGUAGAAUUCCACGUGUAGCAGUGAAAUGCGUAGAGAUGUGGAGGAAUACCGAUGGCGAAGGCAGCCCCCUGGGCCAAUACUGACGCUCAUGCACGAAAGCGUGGGGAGCAAACAGGAUUAAUACCCUGGUAGUCCACGCCCCUAACGAUGUCAACUAGUUGUUGGGGGAUCCAUUCCUUAAGAACGGAGCUAACCCGUGAAGUUGACCGCCGGGGGAGAACGGCCGCAAGAUUAAAACUCAAAGGAAUGGACGGGGAACCCGCCCAGCCGGGGGAUGAUGUGGAUUAAUUCGAUGCAACGCGAAAAACCUUACCUACCCUUGACAUGGUCGGAAUCCUGCUGAGAGGCGGGAGUGCUCGAAAGAGAACCGGCGCACAGGUGCUGCAUGGCUGUCGUCAGCUCGUGUCGUGAGAUGUUGGGUUAAGUCCCGCAACGAGCGCAACCCUUGUCCUUAGUUGCUACGCAAGAGCACUCUAAGGAGACUGCCGGUGACAAACCGGAGGAAGUGGGGAUGACAAAAAAACCUC